rnacentral:rRNA from 1 species
AUGGCUGCGCCCUUCCUCUACACCCGCAGCUCCGGCAACGGCACAAGUCAGGACGCGGCCAUGCGAGCGGCGUUCGACGGCGACCUCCGGCGCCUCAGAGGUACUGUAAAGAGCCUCGACGACCCAAGGGUGAUCUUCUCUUUCGACAUGGGUUAUGGCCUUGGUGUGCUGCACAUCGCAGCCGCCGGAGGGCAUCUUGAGGUUUGCAAAUACUUGGUGGAGGAACUCGGGGGAGAUGUGAAUGCUCCUGCUCCUGGAGUAGUAGACUUUGCAGGCGUGACACCCUUUAUGUUAUCUGCUCAGUCUGGCGAUGUUUCUACUGUGAAGUAUUUGCUUGAUCAUGGUGGUGAUCUAAUAAAAGCAGAUGCUAAAGGACGCACAGUUCUCCACCAUGCGGCAGGCAUAGGAAGCUGUAAGGUUACUGAGUUCCUACUCUCAAAAGGAGUACCCGUUGACAUAGACUGUGGCCGUGGUACACCACUCCAUCAAGCUGCUACCAAUGAACAUGAUAAAACAGUGAAGAUUUUGUUGGAACACCAUGCAGAUCCAAACACCACUGUCAUCGGAAUGGGUACUGCCCUGAUGGGUGCUUUAUUGUAUCGUUCUUUGAAGUGCAUGAAGCUGCUGAUUAAGGCUGGUGCUGAUGUCAAUCGAGGGGGCUCCCUUCCGAUGACUCCAUUAGUGUUCACUACAGGGUGGGGAGGCUAUACCAACUUUGUGAAGUUUCUGUUAAAGGCAGGAGCGGAUCCUAAUAUUCCUGAUGUUUAUGGUAGGUUACCGAUAGAGCUUGCUGCUAGACGUGACUGCAAGGAAGAAGUUGAAAUGUUGUUUCCUUUGACAUCCCCAAUUCCAACCAUCCCAAACUGGAGUAUAGAUGGAAUCAUCUCGCAUGCAAAAUUGGAAAGUGCAAAGCCACUGGGUGGAAGGCACCUUGAACAAACAAAAGCUGUACUCAAGUCGCAUGCAGAUCAGGCAUUCAGGCUCAAGGACUAUAAGUUGGCAUCAAAAGCAUAUGGUGUGGCAAUAGAUGCCGCGCCGACUGCAACAUUGUACGCGAACAGGAGUCUUUGCAAACUGCUGCUGGAUGAUGGUGAAGGUGCUCUGUCAGAUGCUCUCAGAUGCAGAAUGCUGCGACCUAACUGGGUGAAAGCUUGCUACCGUCAGGCUGCAGCUCACAUGCUACUCAAAGAGUAUAAGCAAGCUUGUGAUGCUCUCCUGGACGCUCAAAAGUUGGAUCCUGGAAACGUAGAGGUCGAGAGAGAGCUACGGAAGGCCAGGGAAUUAAUGAAAGCUCACGGUGAGGCUGACAAGUGA